rnacentral:rRNA from 1 species
AGCGAACGCUGGCGGCAGGCCUAACACAUGCAAGUCGAACGAACCUUUCGGGGUUAGUGGCGGACGGGUGAGUAACACGUGGGAACGUGCCUUUAGGUUCGGAAUAACUCAGGGAAACUUGUGCUAAUACCGAAUGUGCCCUUCGGGGGAAAGAUUUAUCGCCUUUAGAGCGGCCCGCGUCUGAUUAGCUAGUUGGUUGAGGUAAUGGCUCACCAAGGCGACGAUCAGUAGCUGGUCUGAGAGGAUGAUCAGCCACAUUGGGACUGAGACACGGCCCAAACUCCUACGGGAGGCAGCAGUUAUGAAUCUUGCGCAAUGGGCGAAAGCCUGACGCAGCCAUGCCGCGUGAAUGAUGAAGGUCUUAGGAUUGUAAAAUUCUUUCACCGGGGACGAUAAUGACGGUACCCGGAGAAGAAGCCCCGGCUAACUUCGUG